rnacentral:rRNA from 1 species
UGCAGAGGUUUCUCGGAGUCACGAGCAUAUCAAUAAGCGGAGGAAAAGAAACCAACAGGGAUUGCCUCAGUAGCGGCGAGUGAAGCGGCAAGAGCUCAGAUUUGAAAUCGUGCUUUGCGGCACGAGUUGUAGAUUGCAGGUUGGAGUCUGUGUGGAAGGCGGUGUCCAAGUCCCUUGGAACAGGGCGCCCAGGAGGGUGAGAGCCCCGUGGGAUGCCGGCGGAAGCAGUGAGGCCCUUCUGACGAGUCGAGUUGUUUGGGAAUGCAGCUCCAAGCGGGUGGUAAAUUCCAUCUAAGGCUAAAUACUGGCGAGAGACCGAUAGCGAACAAGUACUGUGAAGGAAAGAUGAAAAGCACUUUGAAAAGAGAGUGAAACAGCACGUGAAAUUGUUGAAAGGGAAGGGUAUUGCGCCCGACAUGGGGAUUGCGCACCGCUGCCUCUCGUGGGCGGCGCUCUGGGCUUUCCCUGGGCCAGCAUCGGUUCUUGCUGCAGGAGAAGGGGUUCUGGAACGUGGCUCUUCGGAGUGUUAUAGCCAGGGCCAGAUGCUGCGUGCGGGGACCGAGGACUGCGGCCGUGUAGGUCACGGAUGCUGGCAGAACGGCGCAACACCGCCCGUCGUAA